rnacentral:rRNA from 1 species
UGAUCCUGGCUCAGAUUGAACGCUGGCGGCAGGCCUAACACAUGCAAGUCGAGCGGUAGCGGGAAGAGCUUGCUCUUUGCCGACGAGCGGCGGACGGGUGCGUAACACGUAGGAAUCUGCCCGGUAGUGGGGGAUAGCCCGGAGAAAUCCGGAUUAAUACCGCAUACGCCCUAAGGGGGAAAGCAGGGGAUCUUCGGACCUUGCGCUAUCGGAUGAGCCUGCGUCGGAUUAGCUUGUUGGUGGGGUAAAAGGCCUACCAAGGCGACGAUCCGUAGCUGGUCUGAGAGGAUGAUCAGCCACACUGGGACUGAGACACGGCCCAGACUCCUACGGGAGGCAGCA